rnacentral:rRNA from 1 species
UACGUAGGGGGCAAGCGUUGUCCGGAAUUAUUGGGCGUAAAGAGCGUGUAGGCGGCCCGACCAGUCCGCUGUGAAAGUCCAGGGCUCAACCCUGGAAUGCCGGUGGAUACUGUCGGGCUAGAGUCCGGAAUGGGCGAGUGGAAUUCCUGGUGUAGCGGUGAAAUGCGCAGAUAUCGGGAGGAACACCGGUGGCGAAGGCGGUUCUCUGGGCCUGUACUGACGCUGAGGAGCGAAAGCGUGGGGAGCGAACAGG